rnacentral:lncRNA from 1 species
AGAAGAGACACCGAGAAACCUCGACGGCGUCAACGACGGUGGCUCGCCGGAAAACCCAUAAAACAGAAUUAGGGCUUCCUCCGAUUUGGCCACGAAUCAAGAAAACAAAGACACAACAAGGAAGAGGGAAGUGAGGAGGACAAGAAUAUACCCUUCAUAGCUGUCGUCCCUACCGGAGCUCACCGGAAAUUGCAGAACACAGUCGAGCUUUCCUUCGAUCGAUCACCACCGAAUCGAGAAGAAAGUGUGAUCCAUGGACCGGGUUAGAUAGAAGAGAAGGAGAGGAAGAGAUUGAAGAUGGUCUCGUCACCAGGGAUGGCCGGAGACGACGGCGUCAUGCGGAGGACGCCGGAGGCAGGCGGAGAGGAAGAGGGAAGUCUGGGCUCGGGUCAAACCGAGUGUGGCUUCCUUGACUGGGUCAACCCCCUCUUAACCUUUUUAAGCCUACACCCACAGCUGAAAACAAAACCCUAGAUCCUAUGGCCCAGAAUAAAAGUCAUACUCUAAUUCCAGACAAUUAACUCAUUUUACCGAACCUUCAAUACAUCGAAGAAAAAUAGCUCGAGACUCCAAAAAUAAUCAGGAGACACCGACGAACUCGUAUCGACGCGCACUAGGACUUCGGGUCCAUAAAAGAAGAACUUUACAUUUUGAGAACAACUCGACAAUAAACUCUCGAGUGUUAAAUUACCAAAUUACCGAGCACGGUUAAAUUCCUCAGUAACUCGAAAAAUACCCAGUAAAAAGGGAAAAAUUAGGCCCGGGAUGUUACACCUCCCUUGAACAUGGACAACCCUAACUCGAACAUUUCAAAUUUACACUCUUACUACAACACGUCCAAACUUCACAUAAAUAUCCAGCUAAUAAAAGCAAAUAUGAUAAGAGAUUCUAAACAUCAAACCAACAGGCCGAGCACACUACCGAAAUAAUAUACAACAAUCCCAAAGUAUCCAGAGCUACUAGACUCUAGCGGAAGCAAGAAAACAUGAGUAGGUUGAACAGGUAACCUACUGAUGAAAACUGGCAGAAAUGCGGGUGACUAUGCCUCGCCUCCUACUAGAUCCAACCCGAACUCUGCAGACUGGGCAUUUUAAAACGAAGGGCCCAGGGGAAAAACAUUUAAUAACGUUAGAGUGAGUGGACAAAAAUAAAUUAAUAAGAAAAAUAUUUAUGUUUCCCCAAAUCCAUUUCUAAGGAAAAAUCGAAUGCAUGCCGCAAGCGAUUAAACUUUUAUCUCAUAAAAUAUCGAGCCUCUCAGACUCUAUAAUAUAUGUAUGUAUUUACAC